AGCUCCAAUAGCGUAUAUUAAAGUUGUUGCGGUUAAAAAGCUCGUAGUUGGAUCUCAGCUCGGGCCGGACGGUCCGCCUACCGGUGGUCACUGUUCGUCGCCCAGCGUUCAGGCGGUUAUUCUUGAUGAUCUUCACCGGUUGUCUCGGGUGACCGCCAAGUUUACUUUGAAAAAAUUAGAGUGCUCAAAGCAGGCGCGACGCCUGAAUAAUUGUGCAUGGAAUAAUGGAAUAGGACCUCGGUUCUAUUUUGUUGGUUUUCGGAACACGAGGUAAUGAUUAAGAGGGACAGACGGGGGCAUUCGUAUUGCGACGCUAGAGGUGAAAUUCUUGGACCGUCGCAAGACGAACUACUGCGAAAGCAUUUGCCAAGAAUGUUUCCA
rnacentral:rRNA from 1 species